rnacentral:rRNA from 1 species
CAAAGGCUUGGUCCUGACUUUACUAUCAACUUUAGCUAAACUUACACAUGCAAGUAUCCGCACCCCUGUGAGAAUGCCCUACAGUUCCCCGCCCGGGAACAAGGAGCCGGUAUCAGGCACACAUAACCAGCCCAUGACACCUUGCUUAGCCACACCCUCAAGGGAACUCAGCAGUGAUAGACAUUAAGCCAUAAGUGAAAACUUGACUUAGUCAAAGCUAACAGGGCCGGUAAAACUCGUGCCAGCCACCGCGGUUAUACGAGAGGCCCAAGUUGACAGUCACCGGCGUAAAGAGUGGUUAAAGAAUGAUUAAAACUAAAGCCGAACACCUUCAAGGCAGUUAUACGCACCCGAAGGUUAGAAGCCCAACUACGAAAGUGGCUUUAUCUUUCCUGAACCCACGAGAGCUACGGCACAAACUGGGAUUAGAUACCCCACUAUG